rnacentral:rRNA from 1 species
AACGAACGCUGGCGGCAUGCCUAACACAUGCAAGUCGAACGAGACCUUCGGGUCUAGUGGCGCACGGGUGCGUAACGCGUGGGAACCUGCCUUUAGGUUCGGAAUAACUCAGAGAAAUUUGAGCUAAUACCGGAUGAUGUCUUCGGACCAAAGAUUUAUCGCCUUUAGAUGGGCCCGCGUUGGAUUAGCUAGUUGGUGGGUAAAGGCCUACCAAGGCGACGAUCCAUAGCUGGUCUGAGAGGAUGAUCAGCCACACUGGGACUGAGACACGGCCCAGACUCCUACGGGAGGCAGCAGUGGGGAAUAUUGGACAAUGGGCGAAAGCCUGAUCCAGCAAUGCCGCGUGAGUGAUGAAGGCCUUAGGGUUGUAAAGCUCUUUUACCCGAGAUGAUAAUGACAGUAUCGGGAGAAUAAGCUCCGGCUAACUCCGUG